UAGGCUAAUUCUACGCCCUUGAGCCACCAUAGCUCAGUAGGUAGAGCUUUAGCUUUGUAAGCUAAGGGUCCUG